UGGGGAAUUUUCCGCAAUGGGCGCAAGCCUGACGGAGCAACGCCGCGUGAAUGAAGAAGGCCUUCGGGUCGUAAAUUUCUGUCUUUUGGGGCGAAACAGCAGCGCAAAUAGCGUUGUGAAUGACGGUACCAAAGGAGGAAGCUCCGGCUAACUACGUGCCAGCAGCCGCGGUAAUACGUAGGGAGCGAGCGUUGUCCGGAAUUACUGGGCGUAAAGGGCGCGUAGGCGGGUUUUUAAGUCAGGUGUGAAAACUCCAGGCUCAACUUGGAGAGUGCACUUGAAACUGGGGACCUUGAGGACAGGAGAGGAAAGUGGAAUUCCUAGUGUAGCGGUGAAAUGCGUAGAUAUUAGGAGGAACACCAGUGGCGAAGGCGACUUUCUGGACUGUACCUGACGCUGAGGCGCGAAAGCAUGGGGAGCGAACGGG
rnacentral:rRNA from 2 species